UGAGCCAAACUACCAAAAUUGCAGAGCUU
rnacentral:piRNA from 1 species